CUCCCGAUCCCCCUACCUCUCUCUCUCCUUGGCCUAACUUCCCAGGGAUACAAGAGUUCCGUCCGUUCACCGGUGGCCUGAGAGAUUGUUUAAGGUGAUAUUUUGCAACUCGAGUAAAAGUUCAAGUGGCAUUGCUAUAAAUUUCCCCGACUUUCACUCCAAUCUAUGUUUCCAAGUGUCGAUCUUACCCCAUCAGAAUUCUUUGGAAGGAGAAAUUUUUAGUUAUAAUAGGAAUACGGAUGAUACUCUACGUGUUUUUAUGCAAGUGGUGGAAAAUUUUAAUUUUUAAGUUAUUAACUUUUUAAGACACAUAACUCACUAUUUAUUUAGGGAUACGUGGUGUAACAUCUCAUGUGACGACCAAGUGACCAUCAGAGUUGAUCACGAUGAUAUGCAUUCAAGAUCUUCCUGACCCUUUAUUGGUUGAAAUCCUUUAUCGACUUCCUUGCAGUAAAGUUGUUUUUCAGUGCAAAAGUGUGUCGAAGCGUUGCUUACGUCUCAUCUCCGAUCCUUCUUUUCUUCGCCGUUUUCUAUGUGUCCAAAGCGUUCAACAGAAGCCCAUCCUAAGUACUCUAGUUAUAUUGGCCUUUAGCGACGUGGAGCUAGGGGGCACAAAACUGAAGUCUUUCUUCCGCCCGCCCCACAAGUCCACAAUGGUGAAGUUGCACCAUUGGGAGUGGGAUUCAUGUGUGAUCCAUACUACAACUCCUCUUCUCGAGAAGACAGUAGCAGUACAAGUUUUGAUAUCAUCCAGCUUAAUACUGAGUAUAGGUGGACGAUUGUGCGAAUGGUUUGGAAUUUGUCAGAUGCUGGCUACCAUGUGGAGAUGAUCUCUUCUGAGACUAGAGGUGAAUGGAGAGAAUUGGCUCUGUUAGGCAGCCCACAACAGUUAAAACACUUGCGAAAUAUUCAUACUGAUAUUGAAGGUUUCAUUUCUUAUUCAGCUGUUGCUCACAAUAGAAAGUUUUAUUGGUUGCCUAAUACUUCUGAAUGUACUUUUGAGUUGGAUCCAUUCAUUGCUAAUAGUAAUGGUGAUAAUGUUGCUAAAUGUCA